GACGAACGCUGGCGGCGUGCUUAACACAUGCAAGUCGAACGGUGAAGCGCCUUCCUUUUUGGUGGGUGUGGAUGAGUGGCGAACGGGUGAGUAACACGUGAGUAACCUGCCCCCUUCUUCUGGAUAACCGCAUGAAAGUGUGGCUAAUACGGGAUAUUCUGGUUCUGUCGCAUGAUGGGUCUGGGAAAGAUAUUGUUUCGGUGGGGGAUGGGCUCGCGGCCUAUCAGCUUGUUGGUGGGGUGAUGGCCUACCAAGGCGGUGACGGGUAGCCGGCCUGAGAGGGUGGACGGUCACAAUGGGACUGAGACACGGCCCAGACUCCUACGGGAGGCAGCAGUGGGGAAUAUUGCACAGUGGGCGCAAGCCUGAUGCAGCGACGCCGCGUGAGGGAUGGAGGCCUUCGGGUUGUGAACCUCUUUCGCCAGUGAAGCAGGCCUGCCUCGUUUGUGGGUGGGUUGACGGUAGCUGGAUAAGAAGCGCCGGCUAACUACGUG
rnacentral:rRNA from 1 species